UCCCCAUCAGUUUAUCCCCCUAACCAAGACCAUGGGGUUAUAAUGUCUUCUUAUCCACUAGUGAAGGGAUUAGUGGAAAUACCGUAUCGC
ncrna:unclassified sequences PhotoRC-II RNA